rnacentral:rRNA from 1 species
AGUGAACGCUGGCGGUAGGCCUAACACAUGCAAGUCGAACGGCAGCACAGUAAGAGCUUGCUCUUACGGGUGGCGAGUGGCGGACGGGUGAGGAAUACAUCGGAAUCUACUUUUUCGUGGGGGAUAACGUAGGGAAACUUACGCUAAUACCGCAUAGGACCUACGGGUGAAAGCAGGGGAUCUCCGGACCUUGCGCGAUUGAAGGAGCCGAUGUCGGAUUAGCUAGUUGGCGGGGUAAAGGCCCACCAAGGCGACGAUCCGUAGCUGGUCUGAGAGGAUGAUCAGCCACACUGGAACUGAGACACGGUCCAGACUCCUACGGGAGGCAGCAGUGGGGAAUAUUGGACAAUGGGCGCAAGCCUGAUCCAGCCAUACCGCGUGGGUGAAGAAGGCCUUCGGGUUGUAAAGCCCUUUUGUUGGGAAAGAAAAGCAGCAGGUUAAUACCCCGCUGUUCUGACGGUACCCAAAGAAUAAGCACCGGCUAACUUCGUG